UACAGAGGUCUCAAGCGUUUGUUCGGAUUCAUUGGGCGUAAAGGGUGCGUAGGUGGCGGGGUAAGUCAGGUGUGAAAUCUCGGAGCUCAACUCCGAAACUGCACUUGAUACUGCCUUGCUCGAGUACUGGAGAGGAGAUUGGAAUUUACGGUGUAGCAGUGAAAUGCGUAGAUAUCGUAAGGAAGACCAGUGGCGAAGGCGAAUCUCUGGACAGUUACUGACACUGAGGCACGAAGGCCAGGGGGAGCAAACAGG
rnacentral:rRNA from 1 species